rnacentral:rRNA from 1 species
UGAGCAAUCUGCCCUUCUCAUCGGAAUAAGCGUUGGAAACGACGUCUAAUGCCGAAUACGACCUCCUUUCACAUGAUCGGAGGUGGAAAGCUCCGGCGGAGAAGGAUGAGCUCGCGGCCUAUCAGCUAGUUGGUGUGGGUAACGCCCACCAAGGCGACGACGGGUAGCCGGCCUGAGAGGGUGACCCGGCCACACUGGGACUGAGACACGGCCCAGACCUCCGUACGGGAGGNAGCG